rnacentral:rRNA from 1 species
UACAGAGGGUGCAAGCGUUAAUCGGAAUUACUGGGCGUAAAGCGAGCGUAGUCGGUUAUCUAAGUCGGAUGUGAAAUCCCCGGGCUCAACCUGGGAAUUGCAUUCGAUACUGGAUAGCUAGAGUUCGGCAGAGGGAAGCGGAAUUUCGGGUGUAGCGGUGAAAUGCGUAGAUAUCCGAAGGAACAUCAGUGGCGAAGGCGGCUUCCUGGACCAGAACUGACGAUCAGGCUCGAAAGCGUGGGGGAGCAAACAGG